rnacentral:rRNA from 1 species
UCGCACCUACCGAUUGGAUGAUCCGGUGAAGCCUCGGGAUUGUGAUUGAGUUCCUUCAUUGGAUCUCGACCGCGAGAACUUGUCUAAACCUUAUCAUCUAGAGGAAGGUG